UUUGUCGCCAAGCUGUUGCGUUGCCGCUCAUCUCUUCUUCACCGUCGCCGCUCAUCUCUUCUUCACCGUCGCCGCUCAUCACCAACGUCGUAUCCUCUGUCACCAGUUCGAAAGUGGGUAUGGUUUUGAUAGUGAUGAUGAACUGCAACGGCUAAUUAAGAUAGAGAAGCGAGCUUGAUGCAGCUGCCACCAAGCUGCAGAAGGUUUAUAAGAGUUACCAUACCAGAAGAAACUUGGCAGAUUGUGCUGUGGUGGUGGAGGAACUAUGGUGGAAGGCAUUGGAUUUUGCUGCUCUUAAAAGGAGUUCAGUUUCAUUCUUUGAUGUGGAGAAACAAGAAUCUGCUGUGUCAAGGUGGGCAAGGGCAAGAACAAGAGCA